CCUACGGGAGGCUGCAGUGGGGAAUAUUGCACAAUGGGGGAAACCCUGAUGCAGCGACGCCGCGUGAGUGAGGAAGUAUUUCGGUAUGUAAAGCUCUAUCAGCAGGGAAGAAAAUGACGGUACCUGACUAAGAAGCCCCGGCUAACUACGUGCCAGCAGCCGCGGUAAUACGUAGGGGGCAAGCGUUAUCCGGAUUGACUGGGUGUAAAGGGAGCGUAGACGGUUAAUCAAGUCAGAAGUGAAAACCCAGGGCUCAACCUUGGGACUGCUUUGGAAACUGGGUAGCUUGAGUGCAGGAGAGGAGAGGGGAAUGCGAUGUGGGGCGGUGGACUGGGUAGAUAUAUGGGGGGUCGCGAGUGGCGAAGGGGGGUCUAUGGUCUGUAACGGAAGCUGAGGCUCGUACGGGUGGGGAGAUAACAGGAUUAGAUAGAGUAGUAGUC
rnacentral:rRNA from 1 species